ensembl:lncRNA
AUCAAUCUUGUUUAUCAAGUACUGAGUUUUCUUUGGUGCAAUGGUCAAAAUAAAGUCCAGUAAAUAUUAAAAAAUAUUUAAAAACACACACACACACACAGUGCUGUGCAAACUUCAUUUCCAGACAUCCACUGAGUACAAGUUAUUUAUUAUUAUUCAGGAGUUUCCCAAAAAAUAAUCAUUAAUAGCUACAGAAAAACGGUCACUCCUAACAACCGUGCCAGACCUGGUAGACCAGAACUGACCCCUUCAGCACUUUCUCCUGAAAAGAAUGGUAGUUGUAAUAAAGGUAAAACCUAGACACAUUAAAUACUCAUACUUCCACUCACUGGCCACUUUAUUAAAAACACCUACCCUAUACUUCCACUCACUGGCCACUUUAUUAGAAACAGCUACCUUGUACUUCUGCCCACUGGACACUUUAUUAGAAACACCUACCAUGUACUUCUGCCCACUGGACACUUUAUUAGAAACGCCUACCUUGUACUUCUGUCCACUGGCCACUUUAUUAGAAACACCUACCUUGUACUUCUGCCCACUGGACACUUUAUUAGAAACGCCUACCUUGUACUUCUGUCCACUGGCCACUUUAUUAGAAACACCUACCUUGUACUUCUGCCCACUGGACACUUUAUUAGAAACACCUACCCUAUACUUCCACUCACUGGCCACUUUAUUAGAAACAGCUACCUUGUACUUCUGCCCACUGGACACUUUAUUAGAAACACCUACCAUGUACUUCUGCCCACUGGACACUUUAUUAGAAAUGCCUACCUUGUACUUCUGUCCACUGGACACUUUAUUAGAAACACCUACCUUGUACUUCUGCCCACUGGCCACUUUAUUAGAAACACCUACCUUGUACUUCUGCCCACUGGACACUUUAUUAGAAACGCCUACCUUGUACUUCUGUCCACUGGCCACUUUAUUAGAAACACCUACCUUGUACUUCUGCCCACUGGCCACUUUAUCGGAAACACCUACCUUUGUUAGAUAUAUUUUCUGCUUUUCUCAAUUUCAAAAUUAUACAGAAACUGCACAGAUCAGCCUGAUUCUGAGUCAGCCGUUAACGGUCGCUUCUCCUGCUGUUCUCUCUCUCCCUCCUCAACUCACAAAUUACAAAAAC